GAAGGGUCGAUUGGGUCAUAAUCAUACCGAUCAUGUCCAAAAGUAAAUAUUAUAGAAUUUAUUAAAUAUUUUAUUAAAAUUUAAUCAUUAAUUUUGUUCAAUUUUAAGGUGGUGCUUGGAAACGUUCCAACGCGUCAUUUUUAUUCUCCCUACGCAACAAGAAUAACCUUGCUCCAUUUAUUGCCAACAUCAAGCAAGGUCUGGAGCACAGUGCAAUCUACUGUUCGCCUGGUUAUGGACCAACCUUUGGUGGAGGUCAUGAUCUGUACAUUUGUAACAAUCCUCAAGUUAGUCAAUCAUACAGCAAUUUUGGAAGCACAUAUCAACUUCCCCCUGGUUAUGUCUAUAACAGUGAACAAGCAAGGAACCUUCUUGCUGGUCAGCACCAAUUCUUAACGACAGAAAUCGAAGUCUUCAACUGACAGUUGCCUUGGUUUACUUACUUCAACGAAAAAUAACAUUACAUUGAUUACGACCGCUCUUAUAGCAAUCACUUUUGGACAGUGAUUUUGCGAUCUUAUAAAGUAUUAAGAGUUAAUAUGAAUAUUCUGAGUCAUGUACUGUAGGAAUUUUAAAAAUUAAAAUUGGUCGUUUGCCUCAACAGUAGCAGUUACUGGAGUCAACAAAUGAAAGGCCUCGAAGAAAACUUGUGAAAAACCGAUUGUUAUACAGCCGACAGUAAUCAAUUAUCUAAUCCGCAUAUAGCGUAGGUAAAUGUUCGAAAAUUGGAAGAACAUUUAAUUUUCGAUCGACCACUUUAAUUAAAUCGGGUUGCAUCUGACCAUUUUUUAUCACAAUGACAUAAGAACGGUGUCAUUUGGCAGCUAAAAGCCUAUCUUUAUUAGUGU
rnacentral:lncRNA from 1 species